rnacentral:rRNA from 1 species
GACGAACGCUGGCGGCGUGCCUAAUACAUGCAAGUUGAGCGAUGAAGCUUGGUGCUUGCACCAAUUUGAAGAGCAGCGAACGGGUGAGUAACGCGUGGGGAAUCUGCCUUUGAGCGGGGGACAACAUUUGGAAACGAAUGCUAAUACCGCAUAAUAACUUUAAACAUAAGUUUUAAGUUUGAAAGAUGCAAUUGCAUCACUCAAAGAUGAUCCCGCGUUGUAUUAGCUAGUUGGUGAGGUAAAGGCUCACCAAGGCGAUGAUACAUAGCCGACCUGAGAGGGUGAUCGGCCACAUUGGGACUGAGACACGGCCCAAACUCCUACGGGAGGCAGCAGUAGGGAAUCUUCGGCAAGGGACGAAAGUCUGACCGAGCAACGCCGCGUGAGUGAAGAAGGGUUUCGGAUCGUAAAACUCUGUUGGUAGAGAAGAACGUUGGUGAGAGUGGAAAGCUCAUCAAGUGACGGUAACUACCCAGAAAGGGACGGCUAACUACGUG